ACUCAUACCUGGCAGGGGAGAUACCAUGAUCAUCAAAGUGGUUUUCCCAGGGUGAGGCUCAUCUAUUGCACUUUGGAUGUGCUGAUCCCUGUGAUUUGCCUAAGUGGGGGACUGUGUUUGUAGUUUCCCCUG
rnacentral:snRNA from 1 species